UCCGUAGGUGAACGUGCGGAAGGAUCAUUG
rnacentral:rRNA from 1 species